ACCAUGCAGUCGACGGCAGCACAGAGGAGCUUGCUCCUUGGGUGGCGAGUGGCGGACGGGUGAGGAAUACAUCGGAAUCUACUUUUUCGUGGGGGAUAACGUAGGGAAACUUACGCUAAUACCGCAUACGACCUACAGGUGAAAGCAGGGGACCUUCGGGCCUUGCGCGAUUGAAUGAGCCGAUGUCGGAUUAUCUAGUUGGCGGGGUAAAGGCCCACCAAGGCGACGAUCCGUAGCUGGUCUGAGAGGAUGAUCACCCACACUGGAACUGAGACACGGUCCAGACUCCUACGGGAGGCAGCAGUGGGGAAUAUUGGACAAUGGGCGCAAGCCUGAUCCACCCAUACCGCGUGGGUGAAGAAGGCCUUCGGGUUGUAAAGCCCUUUUGUUGGGAAAGAAAUCCAGCUGGCUAAUACCCGGUUGGGAUGACGGUACCCAAAGAAUAAGCACCGGCUAACUUCGUGCCAGCAGCCGCGGUAAUACAAAGGGUGCAAGCGUUACUCGGAAUUACUGGGCGUAAAGCGUGCGUAGGUGGUCGUUUAAGUCCGUUGUGAAAGCCCUGGGCUCAACCUGGGAACUGCAGUGGAUACUGGGCGACUAGAGUGUGGUAGAGGGUAGCGGAAUUCCUGGUGUAGCAGUGAAAUGCGUAGAGAUCAGAGGAACAUCCAUGGCGAAGCAGCUACCUGGACCAACACUGACACUGAGGCACGAAAGCGUGGAGGAGCAAACAGAUUAGAUACCCUGGUAGUCCACGCCCUAAACGAUGCGAACUGGAUGUUGGGUGCAAUUUGGCACGCACUAUCGAAGCUAACGCGUUAAGUUCGCCGCCCGGGGGAGUACGGUCGCAAGACUGAAACUCAAAUGAAUUGACGGGGGCCCGCACAAGCGGUGGAGUAUGUGGUUUUAAUUCGAUGCAACGCGAAGAACCUUACCUGGCCCUUGACAUGUCGAGAACUUUAGAGAUGGAUUGCUGC
rnacentral:rRNA from 1 species